CCUUCACUCAUUUCAAUCUGAAAAUUUUCAGCCGCCCCUCUUCCCUCCCUUUCCAUACCCUCUACAACCCCAUCAGCCGAACCAUUAUCAGCCGCCUCAUCAUCAUCCUUGUCUCCCAACCCCAGGCCGAACCACCAUCAUCCUUCUCCCAACCUCAGGCCGAACCACCAUCAGAGAAAACCUCCAAGACCCAAGACCCAAGCCGAACCACCAUCAGUGAACCUCCGACCUAUCCGACACAACCCCAAGACCCAGGCCGAACCUCUGACCUUGCUCCCUCGUGGCUCGGACUCCCUCUCGGCUCUCUCUCCAGACGGUCGGCCACAACACAGAAGAACCUCUGUGUUUGAUUGUAGAAGAAAGCAAGAGAAGGAAGCGUUUUGAGGGUUCGGUGCAAGAAUAGCCUAUACAAAAAUAACUGUUUUGUCCUAAGUUGAGAAGAAGAAAGAACACACCAAGAACCGGCCAAAAAAUUGAAGGAGUAUCUCUUGGAAAUUCGGUCACUGGAGUAUAAUAUAAUUUUGUGGCAUCAAUGUAUUUAUUUUUUAAUUAUGUUAUUGGUUUAAUUAAUAUAAUUAAUAUGUGAAUGUGUGUACAAAGUAAGAUGUGUUUAGUUAUAUAUUUAUAUAUGUGUA